AGUGAACGCUGGCGGCAGGCCUAACACAUGCAAGUCGAACGGCAGCACAGUAAGAGCUUGCUCUUACGGGUGGCGAGUGGCGGACGGGUCAGGAAUACAUCGGAACCUACUUUUUCGUGGGGGAUAACGUAGGGAAACUUACGCUAAUACCGCAUAUGACCUACGGGUGAAAGCAGGGGAUCUUCGCACCUGGCGCGAAUGAACGAGCGGAUGUCGGGUUAGCUGGUUGGGGGGGUAAAGGCCCAGCAAGCCGAGGAUCCGUAGCUGGUCUGAGAGGAUGAUCGGCCACACUGGAACUGAGACACGGUCCAGACUCCUACGGGAGGCAGCAGUGGGGAAUAUUGGGCAAUAGGCGCAAGCCUGAUCCAGCCAUACCGCGUGGGUGAAGAAGGCCUUCGGGUUGUAAAGCCCUUUUGUUGGGAAAGAAAAGCAGCAGGUUGAUACCCCGCUGUUCUGACGGUACCCAAAGAAUAAGCACCGGCUAACUUCGUG
rnacentral:rRNA from 1 species